rnacentral:rRNA from 1 species
CCUACGGGUGGCAGCAGUCGGGAAUAUUGCACAAUGGAGGAAACUCUGAUGCAGUGACGCCGCGUGCAGGAAGAAGGUUUUCGGAUUGUAAAGCUCUGUUAGCAGGGAAGAGGAAGGACGGUACCUGCAGAGGAAGCCACGGCUAACUACGUGCCAGCAGCUGCGGUAAUACGUAGGUGGCAAGCGUUGUUCGGAAUAACUGGGCGUAAAGGAUGCGUAGGCGGUUAAACAAGUUAUAUGUUAAAUAUAUAGGCUUAACCUGUAGAAAGCAUAUAAAACUGUUUAAGUAGAGUGCAGGAGAGGUAAGUGGAAUUCCUAGGGUAGCGGUGAGAUGCGUAGAGAUUAGGAAGAACACCAGAGGCGAAGGGGACUUACUGGACUGUAACUGACGCUGAGGGAUGAGAGCAUGAGGAGCAAACGGGAUUAGAUACCCCUGUAGUC